rnacentral:rRNA from 1 species
UACGGUGGAUCCAAGCGUUAUCCGGAUUUAUUGGGUUUAAAGGGUGCGUAGGCGGCUUUUUAAGUCAGGGGUGAAAGACGGUGGCUCAACCAUCGCAGUGCCCUUGAUACUGAAGAGCUUGAAUACACUAGAGGUAGGCGGAAUGUGACAAGUAGCGGUGAAAUGCAUAGAUAUGUCACAGAACACCGAUUGCGAAGGCAGCUUACUAUGGUGUGAUUGACGCUGAGGCACGAAAGCGUGGGGAUCAAACAGG